rnacentral:rRNA from 1 species
GCAAGUCGAACGGAAAGGCCAGUGCUUGCACUGGUACUCGAGUGGCGAACGGGUGAGUAACACGUGGGUGAUCUGCCCUGCACUUCGGGAUAAGCCUGGGAAACUGGGUCUAAUACCGGAUAGGACCACAUUUUGGGUGGUGUGGUGGAAAGUUUUUCGGUGUGGGAUGAGCUCGCGGCCUAUCAGCUUGUUGGUGGGGUAAUGGCCUACCAAGGCGUCGACGGGUAGCCGGCCUGAGAGGGUGUACGGCCACAUUGGGACUGAGAUACGGCCCAGACUCCUACGGGAGGCAGCAGUGGGGAAUAUUGCACAAUGGGCGCAAGCCUGAUGCAGCGACGCCGCGUGGGGGAUGACGGCCUUCGGGUUGUAAACUCCUUUCGCUAGGGACGAAGCGUAAGUGACGGUACCUGGAGAAGAAGCACCGGCUAACUACGUGCCAGCAGCCGCGGUAAUACGUAGGGUGCGAGCGUUGUCCGGAAUUACUGGGCGUAAAGAGCUCGUAGGUGGUUUGUCGCGUCGUUUGUGUAAGCCCGCAGCUUAACUGCGGGACUGCAGGCGAUACGGGCAUAACUUGAGUGCUGUAGGGGAGACUGGAAUUCCUGGUGUAGCGGUGGAAUGCGCAGAUAUCAGGAGGAACACCGAUGGCGAAGGCA